AUUUGAUUAAUUACACAAUAUUAACACUACCCAAGGAUUUGUUUCAAUAAAUAAUCAACUUUCAAAUGUAACAAGUUACUUUUUCUAUCACAGUACUAAUCAGAGUGAGCACUUCUAUUAACGCACAACAGCUACUUCAAAUAUUUGCCUCAACAAUCUCUAAUCUCCCCAUUUGAAUUUUUUUAAACAAAACCAAAGCUAAUCAAUAAACCAAAAAAAAAAAAAUCCAUUACCGGUCAAAAACAGUUGGCCAAACUUAAUACCAAACGUGGUUCCCGGUCUUUUCUCUGAUUUGGUAAAAUGGCCGAAACGGUUGCUUAAAUUUUGGUAACUUCCGUUAACAGCACACACUAUGUUUGCUUAAAAACAAUUGCCGUCUCCACUCAAUCAACGCAAUCCUCGAAAAACUGAGCACCCCUUCCCCAC
rnacentral:lncRNA from 1 species